UUUUUUCUUUUUUUUUUUGAUAAACAAUUUUUCUACAGUGAGUUUGCCAAAUUACUCUCAUAAUGUCUUCAUUAUGAGAUUUUUUUCACAUUUCUAUGCAAUGAUACCACCUACCAAUAAUGAGCUAUACUUUAGUCUUCCCCAUUUAAUGUCUUAAACUUUUUUCCUUUUUGCCUUAUUGGUAAGCUAGAGCCUUCAGUCCUAUGUUAAAGAGGUACCAAGCAUUCUUGUCUCAUUAAUACCAGGAAGAGCUAGUUCAGUAUUUAUCUUCUUAGUAUGAUAUUUGUUGUAUGUUGAUUUCCUUUUAUUUUUAAUGAGCUUCCCUUUCAGUCCUAGUUUUUUUUAGUCAUGAAUGGGUGUAAAGCUUAAUCAAAUAUAUUUUCUGCCAUCUAUUUAAAUAAUAAAGUGGCUUCACUUACUUUUUCUACCGAUGUGGUAGGUUAUGUCAAUUAACUUAAACUUGUAAAUAUUUAUUCCAAAAUAAUUUCACUUAUAAGUCAUAUACAUAAUACCAAAAAAUUCCCAUGUCCCCUCAGAUUCUCCUAAAUGCACUGUAUCUCUUCCAUCUGUCCCUUGCAUACUUGCACUCUAUACACACACACACACACACACACACACACACACACACACUUAUUAGUCUUUCUCUAAAGCCAUUUGAAAAUAAGCUGCAGACAUGAAACUCCAUUACCCCUACACACUCCAGUGUGUAUUUCCCCCAGAGGCGUUAUCCUACAGAACCACCCAAUAAUCAUCCAAGUCAAGAGAUAAACACUGACUGGGAUGCCUGGGUGGCUCAGCAGUUGAUCAACAGCCUUUGGCUCAGGGUGUGACUCCAGAAUCCUGGGAUUGAGUCCCAUAUCAGGCUCCCUGAGUGGAGCCUGCUUCUCUCUCCGCGGGGUCUCUGCCUCUCUGUCUCUCAUGAAUAAAUAAAUAAAAUCUUUUUAAAAAGAGAUAAACACCACCACCCAAUCCAUACACUGAAUUCUGUCAACUGUUCUAAUAGUAUCUAUUCUUCCUUUGUUUUUAUUUAAAAAUAGCUGCAGUCUGGGUGGUUUUGUUGGUUGAGCAUCAAACUCUUGGUUUCAGCUCAGGUCAUGAUCUCAGGGUCAUGAGAUCAAGCCCCACGGUGAGUUGUCCACUCAGCAGUGAGUCUGAAGAUUCUCUUCCUCUGCCACUUCUACUUGCUUGCUCACUCUCUAAAAUAAAAAAAUCUUUAAUAGAUUUCCAUUCUCCCCCAAUCUGGAAUGGUUUCUCAGUCUUUUUCAUGUCCUUCACAUAUUUAAAGAACAUAGGCUUUGCAUUCAGUAAAAUAGUCUUUCAAAUGGGUUCACCAGAUAUUUCCUAAGGAAACACAGGUCACGCUUUCUUGGCAAAAAUACCACAUGAUGCUGGCUCUCUCAGUGCAUCCCAUCAGGGCACACAUCAUGUUGACUUGUCCUACUCCACUGGUGAGGUGAACUUUAAUCACCUCAUCACGUUGGUGUCUGCUGGGUUUAAUCAUAAAAUCACCACUUUUGCCUUUGCAGCUGAUUAGUAUUUUGUGGAGAGAUUUUUGAAGACUAUUCCAACAUCCUAUUCUUCAUCAAACCUCUAUCCACAAACGCUAGCCUAUGUUGGCAACUACCUCUUGAAUCAACCACCAUUCUGAUGGCUGCCAAAUGGUGUUUUUCUAUUGUCAUUAUUCUCCCUACAUUUAUUGGCAUUAAUCUGUAAAGAAAAGUUUUCCCUCCUCCUCCAUGAAUUUACGCAUUUAAUUAUAUCACUAUAAAUUAACGGAGUCCCAUUUUAUUAAGUCUCAUGUAUUCUGAUGCUAUGGUUAUUUUGAUGUUCAUACUGUCUCAAAUUUGGCCAGUGAAACCUGUCCAAGGUGGUUCUUUUGUCCCCAUGAUUCUUUCAACAUUUUCUUACUGACAACUGGUGUGCUCACUGCUACUGGGUGUCACUGUGUGUAAGCCCUCUCAGCAGACACUCCAUAAAACACAUACACACACACACACACACACACACACACACACGAGUUACAUUCCAAUCCAACACUCCAGGGUUUUCUAACGUUCCCCUUCUCCAUUUUUAUAAAAACCUCCAAUCUGGCUCUCAUCAUCCUCAUUUUUGUAUUUGCUCAGUGUUACAGUAUUUAAGCCAUGCUGUUUCUUCCAGCUGCCCUCAACACACCUGAUGCAAGUGUGCACAUCACCAUAAUACCAUUCUCAUUCCCCAAGGCAGGCCUAUUCUGACUUCCAUUCUACAAAGGC
rnacentral:lncRNA from 1 species